GUGGAUUAGAUACCCUGGUAGUCCACGCUGUAAACGAUGGGUACUAGGCUUUGUGGGAAUAGACCCCUGCAGAGCCGGAGCUAACGCAAUAAGUACCCCGCCUGGGAAGUACGGUCGCAAGACUAAAACUCAAAGGAAUUGACGGGGGCCCGUACAAGCGGUGGAUCAUGUGGUUUAAUUCGAAGCAACGCGCAAAACCUUACCUGGGUUUGACAUCCCCGGACCGCUGUAGAAAUACAGUUUUUGUAGCAAUACAACCGGGAGACAGGUGCUGCAUGGCCGUCGCCAGCU
rnacentral:rRNA from 1 species